rnacentral:lncRNA from 1 species
UGGCGUCAGGUCAUUUCAGACUCUUCUGUGUCGAGUGGAGGAGCAACUCUGUGCCCAGCUUAGAGGACUGGAAGAGGCCGCAAUCUUCCGCCUGCUGGAGGGUGGAGGAUGGAUGGAGCCUGGAACCUGGGUCACUACCUCGCUGCAGUUGGUGGUGGCGAUAGAGCAGUAGGAGAGCAUUCGGCAGCAGGAGCUUCUCCUGCUGGGCUGGAGGACUAGAAGGAAGAGGCACUGCCACAUGCUGGAGGCUGGAACCUGUGCCACCAUGGCUCGCCUCGCUGUGGUUGGUGGUGACAUCGGAGACUGCAGCUCAGCCACAGUGGUAGAAAUGUGAUGGUGUAGAUGGUUUCCUAGAAACAUGAUUGUUUAUUGGCGUUGAUCUCGCAGUCUGGUGAGAACUUCUUUACUGAUAAUGUCAAGUUCAGUUUAUCCUCCCAACCAAGGAGCAUUCAGCACAGAACAAAGUCGUUCUCCUCCUCACUCUGUAAAGUAUACGUUUCCCAGCACCCACCACCAGCAGGAUCCAGCAUUUGGAGGCAAACAUGAAGCUCCAUCCUCUCCAAUUUCGGGGCAACCAUGUGGAGAUGAUCAAAAUGCUUUACCUUCAAAACUUUCAAACGAAGAGUUAAUACAAAGUAUGGAUCGUGUAGAUUGAAAAAUUGCAAAAGUAGAACAGCAGAUCCUUAAACUGAAAAAGAAACAAGUAAAAGUCUUUGCCUAAUAUAUUCUAAGAAUGUAUGUUUUUCUCCCUACAGAAGAUAAUUUUGAGUUUUCCAUAUUUUGAAACUUUACAUAAAAGGAAUCAUGCCUUA